rnacentral:rRNA from 1 species
GCAAGUCGAGGGGCAGCGAAUCUAGCUUGCUAGAUGUCGGCGACCGGCGCACGGGUGCGUAACGCGUAUGGAAUCUACCUUUUACAGAGGGAUAGCCCGAAGAAAUUUGGAUUAAUACCUCAUGGUAUUGAGUGAUGGCAUCAUUACUUAAUUAAAGAUUUAUCGGUAAAAGAUGAUCAUGCGUCCUAUUAGCUAGUUGGUAUGGUAACGGCAUACCAAGGCAACGAUGGGUAGCUGGUCUGAGAGGAUGAUC